AGAAAAUGCACCCUUUUAAUCAGCUAAAUUUGAUUUACAGGAAGAGGCAAAAUAAAUAUGGGGAAUGAUAACAGAAACAUGAAUCAAGAAACAUCUGAAAUGAAGUCGAGAAUACCAAGAGGCCAUAAAAUGGAGCCAGAAGACCACUGGGAAGGAUUCAAUGACUUUUGUAAAGAAUGAAAAGGAUGCUAAGAAGCUGCUGUUAGAACUUUAAAAGAUGCAAUGCAAAAUGUUACUGAAGUCAUUCAAGAAUGCUUCAGAAGAAAAUUAUUCCAAGGCCAAGCAAAUUAUUAUGAUUACAAUGCAAGUAAAGGAUGGUGUGAAGUAAUUAUUAUCAAUGACAAAAAAUGAAAAGAAACCAGACUUUUGACAAAG